UUUUCUUCCAAUUUUUCUUUUUAAUUCUUUAAAAAAAUAAAUUUAAAAAUAUUUCUAGAUAACCUAUAUCUAUCUAACACACAUACAAUCUAAAAAGGCUUUAGACAGAUUUUCCCAAAUUUUUCUAUCACAUGUUAAACAAAAUAAUUAAUAAUAAUCAUAAUCAUAAUGAUAAAAGGUGUGUCCUACCAAACAUGUAAAAUCUAAAAGGGUCUUAACUUAACUUGGUUUAGAAAAAAAAAAUUUAAGUAAUAUAUAUAAUUUUAAAAUCUAGAAUGUGGUUACGAAAAACAUAAAUAACUAAGUUCAACAACAUCCGUAACUCUUCUCACUACAAGAAAAAGUUAAUUUUUCGACACACAAAACAACAUCAAGAGAUAAUAAGUCAGAAAAAAUGAUAUCUCCUUACAAGCUAUGGCAAGCAUUGGAAGUUAGUCAUAACCCCGAACGUUGUACGUCGGGAGUAAAUUGAGAAAGAAUGUUUUUGUAGAGAAACUCCCGACGCCUUUCUUUAGAGUUUUCCUAUUUUAUAUAGAACUUUCAGAUCUCAUUUCCUUCCUACUAUUUAAACUCUAAUUUUUCACUCUCCAUCUUCCUCACAACGCCAACGUCGUUUGCUCGCACAGCCCCCUUCCCACCUUGGGUUGCUCCGCCUCUUCCUCUCUCAACGCUACUUCACCCACCACCGCUACUCCCUCCAUUGUUUUCCUUUACCUAUUUCAUUUGUACAUUAUUUCUUCUCUUUUGUGCACUUUCACGACUUGAUUUUCAAAUUUAUUCUAAUUGUAAUUUCCUUUUUCACGAUAAUUUUGUUUAUUUCCAUUUUAGGUUUGUGUGUUUAUAGUUUUUCCUCAGAUGCUACUUGCUUUCGUGUUCAUAUUUGAAAUUUAUACAAAAAGCUUAAAUUCAAAUAUGGUUUUUUGAGCAAAAGGACUUAACGAUGAAGGGCUUAAUCAUUGUAAAGGUUUUUUGUGGCCUUUUGCUUUGAGAAACCAUCGUGAGAUGUUUAGGUUUUUUAUUCUUAAUCUGAAUUUGAAUGUUAUAAAAGCUUUUUUUUUUAUAUACUUUAAUUCUUAAAUUCUUUUGUUGAACUGAAGUGUUUAUCUCCUUUCUUUAGAUUUUGAUCGAACUUGGUACGAAUUGAGCAAAUGAGAAAUUACAAAGUUCAAGCAACUCAUCAAUGUUAGUAAAGUGAAGGAUUCUUGCUUUCAUUGAAUAGUAAUGUAAUUGUUAAAUUUUGUAGUUAGCUUCAAUUAUAUAUAUGUAGUUUAGAGUUGCAUUUUAUUGCUUGUAGUUGUGAUCUUUGAUUGAAUUAAUUACGUGGCAAGAGAGAUUAUUAUGAUCUUUUUUCUCCUUUAGUGAAUAAAUUUCAUAUUAAUUUCUAAAAUUACAUCAAUUACCUAACAAAAUUUCACAUAUUAAAAGGAUUUAAACACCUUGGAUGUUCUUUUGGUCGAGAUUUAGACGGUAAUAUAACGUUGAUCUAAAUUCUUUUUGAAUUAAAUUUGAGUGUUUACAUGUUGUCCCUAGCAUUUGUGAACUCUUAGAUCCAAACUAGAUUUGGACUAAUUCUAACAAAGAUCAUAACCUUUGGAAUAAUCUUCAUUUGUAGUUGUUUAACUUUUUUUAGUUUAGAGUUUCCUUUGAUAUAUAUAUUCUUAAUAUUUGUUGUGAUACAUGCCUGCAUAUUGUUACUAAUUGUUACUUAAUACCACAACUUAAUUAUAUUGUAGGUAAAUAUGAUGUCUUGGAAGCUACAUGUAAAUUGUACACUUAUACUGUACCCUAUAUAGGUAAACAUUAUUAUAUUCUUUACUACACCUAUCUCUCUUAUAUGUAAUAACAAUUUUGGUUGUUUUUUUGAGUGUGUGUGAAAACUUUUCCUUUGCUCAACUAUUAUUGAUUUGGGUUCUAUAAAUUUUAGGUUAUGAAGAUCAAAUUUAAAAACAAUUAACUGGUUAAUGAAUGAAAAGAAAAGAAAUGGUUCAUUAUGAAAACGGAACAAUAGAAAUAUCAUAAGGUGAGAUUUGUUAAAAAGAUGAUGAGAUAAAAUUGUAAAAUAAAAAGAAAAAGAUAAGCUUAUUUAUUUGAGAAUUAAGAGAAUAAUAAUGAUCAUAAUUAGAUAAGAGAGAAUAUGAAAUGGAUGAAAAGAAAAGAAUGAAAAUGGAAGUGGGAGGUGGCAUUAAUGUAUUAUAGGAUUGCCAGAAAAGAGAUCUAAGUAUCUAAUUUCAUAUCACAUAAUUAUUUAAAUUAAAAAGAAGAAAAACAAAAUGUAAAUAAGAUGAUGGUUAAAAGAAAUACCUGGACCGCACUUGAUUGUACACUUCCUCUCACAACGCUGCAUCGCCCUAGCUGCACCACACCACACCCAACCCAACCAACUUUUUCUUAAUCUCAUUCUUUUUUCCAUUAAAUCCAAUUUCAAAUCAAUAUCAAUUUUUAAGUCAAAAACACUAUUCUCAAAUUAGUUUGUUAGAUUAAUUUUGAAAUCUAAUCAUUUAAUUUCAAAUCAAUAGCCAAUUUCUGCAAUUAAGGAAACGGAAUCCUGGAUGCCCUAAAAUGCCGAUCCAGUCACAAAUAAUAGGGCUAAACAAAAAAAAAAAGAAAAGGUUACAAGCGAAAGAGGAAGUGUUUAAACUCACAGUCUUUCUGGACACAAGCAGUGAAACAGCCGUCAAUGCAGUCGGCGGCGUCCGCUGAAACCGUCACCACCGCAGAAAGUAACAAUAAACACAAAAUCGCCACCGCUGAUCUCUCCAUCGCCGCCAGACACUGUGUUUAGAUCAGAAUCUACUUUUUAUUUGAUUACUUUUUUGUGGGGGUGAGAUAGAUAUGUGUAUUGCAAAUUGGUAAAGCAAUUUUUUUGUUAAAUGAGCUUGGAAAUUCCCACCCGCCACGUCUCCUACUUAUUAAAUGAAAAGGCUUUUGGAUCUCAUCUUUCCAAAAUAACUCACCCACUUUCCCAAACUGAACCCAUUCAAUGCUCUAUUUUGUUUGGCUUACAAAUAUUUACUUUUACUUUCGGUUAGAUUAUCAUCCUCUCCCAAAGCGUUUCCCAGAUUCCAAGUAUUAUAGGCUAGAUUUAGGAACUGGUUAGAGAGGAAAAGAAAAAGGGAAAUGGACAAAAAAAAAUAGGCUAAAAAUGGGAUAGAAAAAGAUUUUUAGGAUUGAUGGUAAAAAAAUCGAUAUUUAAGACAAAUUAAAUAUAAAAUGACGAAAAUACCCUCAUUUAAUUUCCACAUUUCUCUUUUCUUUUUCCUUCCUUCCUUCAACUUUUGGUCUUUCUUCUCUUCCGUCCAUUUCUUUUCCACUUCCAUCAAUUUCUUCUUCGUGACUCCCCACUAUUAAUCCUCUAGGCUUGUAAACUGAUUGAACUUUUCUUUAAUCCCUCUUAGCCUAUCUCGUACACAUCUCACACAUAUCUAGUAAGGGUUGGAAUAAAAGAUAAUGAAAGAACAAAAUUCUUCUCAAUUACAUCAAUUACAGCAUCUAUAUCACAAAUGAUCAACUUCAAGAAUACAAUUAAAUGGUUCGGCAGGAAUAAGUUCAGAAUCAAUGGUUUGACAUAAGUUCAGAAUCAAUGGUUUGGCAUAAGUUCAGAAUCAAUGGUUCGGCAUAAGUUCAGAAUACAAUUAAAUGGUUCGACAUAAGUUCAAAGAAAUACAAAACAUAAGUUCAGAAUACAAUUAAAUGGUUCGGCAAUUUCUGUAAUGCCUACCCUAAAGCUAAUUACACCAUGUGUGUCCAUAUCUUUUGCUUUUAAUAAGCAAUAAGCCAUCAAGCGUUGUUUGAUACAAGUAUCCACUAGUUGUCCAAUCUUCAACUAGAGCAGCCAAAAAUUUCCUACCUGGUGUACAUAAGUAACAUAUAAGCAAUAAAAAUGAGGAAAAAAAUCUAUAGAGAAAUCCGAUAAAUUAACUAGGAAAAAUCUAAAUUAACUAGGAAAAAUCUAUAUUGUCCUAGAAUGUCCAUGUUUCUUGCUGGGAGGAAUUCGGUUUAGAGGAUGAGACAUCGGUGAGGGUUAAGCCUUUGGAGAAGGACAUGUGUGGGAGAAGUAGACUUGCGUUCUUUAUAGGGGUUGCUACUCUGGUUACUAAGUUGUUCAAUACUGUGGAACUCGAUGUUGCAGUAUUUGGAAAGAAGGAUUAUCAGCAGUGUUUGGAAAGAAGGAUUAUCAGGCGGAUGGUGAGUCUUUGUAAGAAUGUGAAUGAUUUUGAUUUUCAUACUUGUUUUGAGCUCAAAAUUCAUUGUUAUUCAUUUGAAUUCCUAGCUUGAUAACUUAAUUCUAUUAUUUAUGAAUUUAAUUUGCAUCACUCUAGCCAGAGGCACCAAUUAAUUUUGAAAGAAGCCUCAUGCUAUCUAAUAUGGUAUCAAAUCCUUAAACUAAAAUGAAUAUUCAACUCAUUAAAAAAAUUAAAUUUUGAUCCAAUAAUAGUGAAUCCAAAAGGGUACAAUCUUGAAAAUGGUCCAUAAAAUAGUGCAUAAAUGAAGAAACAAAUAAGAGAUGAAUCAAAUGUCCAUGCUUUCUCCGUAGAUUUUUUUCCUCAUUUUUAUUGCUUAUAUGUUACUUAUGUAUACCAAGUAGGAAAUUUGGCUGCUCUAGUUGAAGAUUGGACAACUAGUGGAAAGCAAGUAUCAAACAACGCUUGAUGCCUUAUUGAAAGCAAAAGAUAUGGACACACAUGGUGUAAUUAGCUCUAGGGUAGGCAUUACAUAAAUUGGAGUUACUAUUUUGUAUUUCUUUGAACUUAUGCCGAACCAUUUAAUUGUAUUCUUGAAGUUGAUCAUUUGUGAUAUAUAGGCUGUAAUCGAUGUGAUUGAGAA
rnacentral:lncRNA from 1 species